CAGCAGCCGCGGUAAUACCGAGGGUGCGAGCGUUAAUCGGAUUUACUGGGCGUAAAGCGUGCGUAGGCGGCUUUUUAAGUCGGAUGUGAAAUCCCUGAGCUUAACUUAGGAAUUGCAUUCGAUACUGGGAAGCUAGAGUAUGGGAGAGGAUGGUAGAAUUCCAGGUGUAGCGGUGAAAUGCGUAGAGAUCUGGAGGAAUACCGAUGGCGAAGGCAGCCAUCUGGCCUAAUACUGACGCUGAGGUACGAAAGCAUGGGGAGCAAACAGGAUUAGAUACCCCCGUAGUCCCUGUCUCUUAUAC
rnacentral:rRNA from 1 species